rnacentral:rRNA from 1 species
GGAUCCAGACUUUGAUUCUGGCUCAGGAUGAACGCUAGCUACAGGCUUAACACAUGCAAGUCGAGGGGCAGCGGGAUUGAAGCUUGCUUCAAUUGCCGGCGACCGGCGCACGGGUGAGUAACGCGUAUCCAACCUUCCGUGCACUCAGGGAUAGCCUUUCGAAAGAAAGAUUAAUACCUGAUGGUAUGAUGAGAUUGCAUGAUAGCAUCAUUAAAGAUUUAUCGGUGUACGAUGGGGAUGCGUUCCAUUAGGUAGUAGGCGGGGUAACGGCCCACCUAGCCAACGAUGGAUAGGGGUUCUGAGAGGAAGGUCCCCCACAUUGGAACUGAGACACGGUCCAAACUCCUACGGGAGGCAGCAGUGAGGAAUAUUGGUCAAUGGACGAGAGUCUGAACCAGCCAAGUAGCGUGAAGGAUGAAGGUCCUACGGAUUGUAAACUUCUUUUAUAAGGGAAUAAACCCUCCCACGUGUGGGAGCUUGUAUGUACCUUAUGAAUAAGCAUCGGCUAACUCCGUGCCAGCAGCCGCGGUAAUACGGAGGAUGCGAGCGUUAUCCGGAUUUAUUGGGUUUAAAGGGAGCGCAGACGGGUCGUUAAGUCAGCUGUGAAAGUUUGGGGCUCAACCUUAAAAUUGCAGUUGAUACUGGCGUCCUUGAGUGCGGUUGAGGUGUGCGGAAUUCGUGGUGUAGCGGUGAAAUGCUUAGAUAUCACGAAGAACUCCGAUUGCGAAGGCAGCACACUAAUCCGUAACUGACGUUCAUGCUCGAAAGUGUGGGUAUCAAACAGGAUUAGAUACCCUGGUAGUCCACACGGUAAACGAUGGAUACUCGCUGUUGGCGAUAUACUAUCAGCGGCUUAGCGAAAGCGUUAAGUAUCCCACCUGGGGAGUACGCCGGCAACGGUGCAACUCAAAUGAA